GACGAACGCUGGCGGCGUGCCUAAUACAUGCAAGUUGAGCGAUGAAGAUUGGUGCUUGCACCAAUUUGAAGAGCAGCGAACGGGUGAGUAACGCGUGGGGAAUCUGCCUUUGAGCGGGGGACAACAUUUGGAAACGAAUGCUAAUACCGCAUAACAACUUUAAACAUAAGUUUUAAGUUUGAAAGAUGCAAUUGCAUCACUCAAAGAUGAUCCCGCGUUGUAUUAGCUAGUUGGUGAGGUAAAGGCUCACCAAGGCGAUGAUACAUAGCCGACCUGAGAGGGUGAUCGGCCACGUUGGGACGGAGACACGGCCCAAACUCCUACGGGAGGCAGCAGUAGUGAAUCUUCGGCAAUGGACGAAAGUCUGACCGAGCAACGCCGCGUGAGUGAAGAAGGUUUUCGGAUCGUAAAACUCUGUUGGUAGAGAAGAACGUUGGUGAGAGUGGAAAGCUCAUCAAGUGACGGUAACUACCCAGAAAGGGACGGCUAACUACGUG
rnacentral:rRNA from 1 species